CAAGUAAUUUACUCAAGAUCACCCAGUCGGCUAGUAAACAGAGAAGAGAUUGAAGUAAGAUAGAUACGACUCGAAAGUCAUGUUCUUUCCUCCAUUCGGGGGGCUCUCCAACAGGGGCUCCAUCACAGUCAUCUGGGGCUCUCACAGGUACCUGAUGACGACAACAGCUUAAGAAGAUUCAAUUGGCUGGUGUGACUGAUAGAAUUAAGUGGCUAAUGACUGAGGAGGUGGGACAUUUUCAAUUCCAAACGAGUCCAAGGGAAAAUGAACUACGAUGACCAAAGAAGCAAACUGGAGGACUUCAACAGUAGAUAUAAGCAGUUAGUGAAAAUAAACCCAAUAUCUGGGAAGGGCACCAGUGCUUGAAAAUGGGGCUCUCUCUGCCUUGACAGAGCAGUGACAGAAUAGCACAGCAUAGUUUACUCCCACCUAAUCCUCUGUAAUCCCCAAUUGGAACAAUUAAUUACCCAAGGGGUCAUGCUCUAUUCCUGUGGUAUUUCUAUUGAGAGCUUUACGAGGUGGACAUGUGUCCAUUAUGAUGCAUUUUGACGGCUCCUUUCACUUAGAGCUGAGAAUAUUCGUUGAUUGUGGUCAGUACAUUUUCGUGUUGUAAAUGGAGUGUAGCUGAAGCGUUCCCUUGAUCACAGAUCACAGAAAACAGCAUAUGUUUAGAGAGGGAAAGAGAAAGGGAGAACAAGCCUGUGGAUUUAGAAAUCAUUUUGCUUGUCUAAACCUGGGCCUCGUUCCAUCCAGAUGACACAAACAGGAAGUGAGAUGAGAAGCAGAGCGGGUUCAAGUCAGGAUGUCACACGAAGAACAGCCAGUUGCCUUCAGAACUAAGAGAUUUAGGGAAGCACCAUAUUAUAAUAGGUUCAGAAACUGGAAAACAAAAUAGAGCCCGCCUAGGGCCUCAAACACCUGCUGAGUCUGAUGCUCUUCCUUUCUUGGUUUGACUGUCACUCACACAAUGACUCAUGUUCAGAUGACUGCUCACCUGAAGGCAUUUAACUAAUUGGCUUAAAUAAUUGAUAUAUCUAACCUCAUCUCUUAAAAUCAGAGGAUUUAUCAUUGUGACUUUUAAAAAUACCCUAGCAAAGCUUUGAAAAUCUAUUCAAUUCAUUGGCUCAUGCCCAGAAACAAAUCUGAGGACUUCACAUCAGUUAAACUUUUCCAGUUUGACUGUUUUUAAGGAA